rnacentral:rRNA from 1 species
CAGUAGCCGCGGGAAUACAGAGGGUGCGAGCGUUAAUCGGAUUUACUGGGCGUAAAGCGUGCGUAGGCGGCUUUUUAAGUCGGAUGUGAAAUCCCUGAGCUUAACUUAGGAAUUGCAUUCGAUACUGGGAAGCUAGAGUAUGGGAGAGGAUGGUAGAAUUCCAGGUGUAGCGGUAAAAUGCGUAGAGAUCUGGAGGAAUACCGAUGGCGAAGGCAGCCAUCUGGCCUAAUACUGACGCUGAGGUACGAAAGCAUGGGGAGCAAACAGGAUUAGAUACCCCCGUAGUCCCUGUCUCUUAUAC